GGCUGAAUGGUUUAGUGGUAUAAUUCUUGCUUUGGGUUACGUGCAAACUGCAAGAGGUCCUGGGUUCGAUUCCCAGUUCAGCCC
rnacentral:tRNA from 1 species